AUAAUACACAGUGCUGAGGCAGUCGCAAAUCGUCAUUGUCUCGCAAGUGCCUUCGCCUGUUCUAUAUAUAAAUAACUGUUAUAUAUAUUAGUAACGGUUGUUUGCGUGUUGCGUGCCAACAAUAACAACAACAAAAACAGCAAUAGCAAGAGGAGCAACGGGAACCGCAGGCGAACGGCAUCCCGUGUGUCUAUAUAAACGAUUAUUUAAUUUAUGGUUUGUAGUCAUAAAAAUAAAGAAGAAGAAGAAGCAUAAGUUUAUUUUUUCGAAGAGAAGUGCGUGCCGGUGGUGAACAGCUGCUGAAAUUUCCCAACUAAAACGUUUCGUAAAAUGUUUAUAUCGAAGACAGUUACUUGCAUUUGACCCCACAGGCAAAGGUCAUAAAUAUAUCAAUAUUAUAACUGUGCUCCGCUGUUAUCAUUGCAAUACAACAAUAUAUACAUAUAUAAGAAAACAAGAACAAUAUGGCCAACAUGCGCUAUUUGUCGGAAACCCAUUUGCGGGGCUUCGAGCGUUACAAGUACAACAGCAUAGACACCAGCUAUCUGAGUGUCUAUGUUAUGCAUCCCUUCUGGAAUGCUUGCGUUAAGUAUUUACCAAAAUGGUUGGCACCCAAUCUGCUCACCUUUGUGGGUUUUCUCAUGACCGUGGUGAACUUCCUAUUGAUAGCCAACUACGACUGGGACUUUACGGCGGCCAAUGAUAAGGCCGUGGGUAAUACAGUGCCUGGCUGGGUGUGGACCGUGGCUGCCAUAAAUAUUCUUAUCUACUACAAUUUGGAUGGCAUGGAUGGCAAACAGGCUCGCCGCACUGGCACGAGUGGGCCGCUGGGCGAGCUCUUUGAUCAUGGUCUGGACUCCUAUUCGGCGGCACUCAUACCCAUCUAUAUCUUCUCACUAUUUGGUACCGAAGAUUUGCCACCCAUACGCAUGUACUUCGUUAUUUGGAACGUAUUUCUCAAUUUCUAUUUUACACAUGUGGAAAAAUAUAAUACAGGUGUUAUGUUUUUGCCCUGGGGUUACGACUUUACCAUGUGGGGCGUCAGCUUGAUGCUUUUUGUGGCCACGCUCGUGGGUCCUGAAAUUUAUCGCUCGAGCUUUUAUGGCUUUACGGUGGCAAAUGUAUUUGAGGUGGGCCUAAUUGGCUCCGGCAUUCUGUCCAGUCACCCCAUCAUUAUAAGGAAUAUAUAUCUCUCUUAUAAGAAUAAGACGGGCAAAAUGCGUCCCAUGAUGGAGAUGUUGCGUCCGUUCUUCGCCUUUCUCUGGUUGUUCGUAAUAACCGUCGUUUGGUCGUUCUUCUCACGCAAUAAAGUUAUUAAUCUGGAGCCGCGCAUAUUGUGGAUACUCUAUGGCACUAUCUUUUCCAAUAUUGCAUGCCGCCUGAUCGUGGCCCAAAUGUCGGAUACACGUUGCGAUAGCUUCAAUAUACUCAUGUGGCCUUUGGUGGCCACCGUGGGCGUCUGCUGUUUCCCUUGGUAUGAGCAGGUGCUGGGCACGGAUCUGACGGCUCAGGGUGAGCGCUGGCUCGUCCAUGGCUUGACAAUAUUUGUUACAUUGGCCCACUGGCAUUAUGGCUUUGGUGUGGUCACGGAAAUGUGUAACCAUUUUAAGAUUCGUUGCUUCAAAGUAAGAAUAUCCCACAGCAAUUCCGUUGAACAUACAUACCAAAAUAAUAACAAAUCCCUGAAAAGUCAUUGAAACUAAUUACAUAACUAACUGAAAUCAACAAAGAAAAGUCAAAAAUUUCAACAAAUCGUUAAAGAAAACCAAAUGGUUGGCCAUUUUAUAUGUGAUAUAAAUGUUGGGUGUUACAAAAUUCUAUUUCGCCUCGCUCUGGUCUAAGUUUAAGUGAUCCAUAAACAGUAUAUAAGCUCUCUCUCUCAGUCUCUCUCAUGCGCCGCAUCAAUGUAAUGAUCAACACAUGUAUAGAUAUAUAACUGGUACUUAACUGCAUGAUAAGGCAGCUGCAAAUAGCAUGUGCUAUGACCCCUAACUGCAUGUUCCGAUAAGUAUUAAAUGCAUUCAGCUAACGGAAAAUCAGCUAAGCAAUAUUAUCUUAAAGCCCGCAUUAUAAUUUCUAUAGAUAACAAAGACGACGGCCAAUACCGCUGCGGAACUGAACGAGGCCGUCGAUGCCACAAAAGCCACGGAAACCGUCGAGGAAG